GUCCACGCCGUAAACGAUGAGAACUAGCUGUUUGUCCUUUAGGGGAUGGGUAGCGCAGCUAACGCAUUAAGUUCUCCGCCUGGGGAGUACGGCCGCAAGGCUAAAACUCAAAGGAAUUGACGGGGGCCCGCACAAGCGGUGGAACAUGUGGUUUAAUUCGAUGCAACGCGAAAAACCUUACCUACUCUUGACAUCCUAGGAAUACGGAAGAGAUUCUGUAGUGCCGCAAGGAACCUAGAGACAGGUGCUGCAUGGCUGUCGU
rnacentral:rRNA from 1 species